rnacentral:rRNA from 1 species
GGACCCGCACAAGUAGUGGAGCAUGUGGUUUAAUUCGAAGAUACGCGCAGAACCUUACCAACACUUGACAUGUUCGUCGCGACUUUAAGAGAUUAAAGUUUUCGGUUCGGCCGGACGAAACACAGGUGCUGCAUGGCUGUCGUCAGCUCGUGUCGUGAGAUGUUGGGUUAAGUCCCGCAACGAGCGCAACCCUCACUUUUAGUUGCCAUCAUUUAGUUGGGCACUCUGAAAGAACUGCCAGUGAUAAGCUGGAGGAAGGUGGGGAUGACGUCAAGUCCUCAUGGCCCUUACGACCAGGGCUGCACACGUGCUACAAUGCCCAGCACAAUGGGGAUGCAACACCGCGAGUUGAG